AACGCGAAGAACCUUACCUGGAUUUGACAUGUAUUUGACAGCCACAGAGAUGUGGUGUUCUCGCAAGAGACAGAUACACAGGUGCUGCAUGGCUGUCGUCAGCUCGUGCCGUGAGGUGUUGGGUUAAGUCCCGCAACGAGCGCAACCCUUGUCGUUAGUUGCCAGCGAGUAAUGUCGGGCACUCUAGCGAGACUGCCUGGGUUAACCAGGAGGAAGGUGAGGAUGACGUCAAGUCCGCAUGGCCUUUAUAUCCAGGGCUACACACGUGCUACAAUGGCCGGUACAGAAGGCAGCAAAACCGUGAGGUGGAGCAAAUCCCGAAAGCCGGCCCCAGUUCAGAUUGGAGUCUGCAACUCGACUCCAUGAAGAUGGAAUUGCUAGUAAUGGCGAGUCAGCAACAUCGCCGUGAAUACGUUCCCGGGCCUUGUACACACCGAGUAUA
rnacentral:rRNA from 1 species